rnacentral:rRNA from 1 species
AUUGAACGCUGGCGGCAUGUUUUACACAUGCAAGUCGAACGGCAGCACGGACUUCGGUCUGGUGGCGAGUGGCGAACGGGUGAGUAAUACAUCGGAACGUACCCAGUAAUGGGGGAUAACUAUCCGAAAGGACAGCUAAUACCGCAUACGCCCUACGGGGGAAAGAGGGGGAUCGCAAGACCUCUUGUUAUUGGAGCGGCCGAUGGCUGAUUAGCUAGUUGGUAGGGUAAAGGCCUACCAAGGCAACGAUCAGUAGCGGGUCUUAGAGGACGAUCCGCCACACUGGAACUGAGACACGGUCCAGACUCCUACGGGAGGCAGCAGUGGGGAAUCUUGGACAAUGGGCGCAAGCCUGAUCCAGCAAUGCCGCGUGCGUGAAGAAGGCCUUCGGGUUGUAAAGCGCUUUUGUCAGGGAGCAAGUCCUUGUGGCUAAUACCCACCGGGGAUGAGAGUACCUGAAGAAUAAGGACCGGCUAACUACGUGCCAGCCGCCGCCGUAAUAC